rnacentral:rRNA from 1 species
UACAGAGGUCUCAAGCGUUGUUCGGAUUCAUUGGGCGUAAAGGGUGCGUAGGCGGCGCGGUAAGUCGGGUGUGAAAUCUUGGAGCUUAACUCCGAAACUGCAUUCGAUACUGCCGUGCUUGAGGACUGGAGAGGAGACUGGAAUUUACGGUGUAGCGGUGAAAUGCGUAGAUAUCAGGAGGAAUACCGGUGGCGAAAGCGACUCUCUGGACGGUAACUGACGCUGAGGCACGAAAGCGUGGGGAGCAAACAGG